UGGGAUUACAUACGCCUCCUGCCACAUCGGAUUUCCUUCUAUUUUGUCAGGGGUGGCAUCAUCCAGUGAGUAAAUCUGUUAGUGAUCUCCCUCGCAUAACCUAGGAAUUCUCUCAGGAUCCAUUUUUCCAGUAGUUUUGAGAAAGCGACCAACAACAGCAAAGAGAGUAGUUCUUCCAUUCCAAGAGCAGCCAUCUUGCUUAACUGACAAACUAGAGAGAACUGCAAGGACUCAGUACAUCCCUGGCACAGUCCAUUCUCUCUCACAGCAUAUUGUAUGAGACUGUGUGAGUGCUGCUUCCACGCUACACUAAAAACCCAUGGUCCCUGCAUUAUUUGAGCAACUGACAAGCUUCUGAAGUUCAGGUUCGCGAACGCUGAGAGCAGCACCCAGUGGAUUUGUGGCAGGGAUGCACUCUAUCUGCGCAGAGGAAAACUCGUAGGACCUCCUAGGAUGCAUCUUGGCUCCAAGUUCGUGCAGUGUUAUUAGGAAAUUACAAGUCUAAGCAGCCGCAAAGAGACCGUUAAAUCACAUCACCUGCAGGCAUUUCUGCAUUAAAUGAUAUCAGAGUGGACACAGGAGAAAGAAAAGUCUAUUGUUGUGUCCACCAUAAAAAUAGACGUGUGGAUGAAAUGAUCUUGGAGCAGAAUCGACUAGAGAGGGUGAACUUGGGCAGAAGAAAUCAACUCGGACAAGCCAGAGUCCCUGACAAGGUCGUGAGGUCUCAAGCCAAUGGGAUGACAUAAAAAGAUUUUUGAUGAACCAAGCUGGCUGGUGUCGCCUCAGUUUGUCUAAAUUACCAAGGACCGCUGGAAUUUCCCUGGGAAUAUGUUUCGGGAAAGGUCAGAAACUCUUCAGUCGUCUUCACGCUUCCACUCAGUAGCAACGUUUUUGCACACUCAUUGACUAUCAACUGGUUGUCUAUGACUCAAAUUACAUAAUGAAUCCAGCACAUAAAUUAUUUACUCAGAUUUAAUGCCAGCAACUGUUAUCUUUGUAUUUUUUUCCCCUCUGCCAGCUAAUCUGGCUCAUUUCAUUGGAAUUUUGGUCAUGCCCAUUCUCCUUCUGCACUAAAUUAACUCCAUAACGUAGUAUAAACAGAACAAGCUUGUGUGUGAUAUGCUUAACUGUUAAUUUACCUAAUUAAACUAAUUCAAUUAAAUCAUUUACAUCUUUUUGGUAACAUGCCAGUUGAUACCACAGCAGAAGUGGGAUGUUUCAGAAGAUGAUUGUUCAGCAAAUGAAUGGAAAAAAAAAUAAAAGGAAAACAAAAUGAGACAACCGUCCAAAUCUCUUGGCUUGAAAAUUAAAUGAUACUGAAAAAAUGCAGCUUUCACGGGGCACUGUGAUUAGAUAUUUUUCUGAAAUCAAUUUUCUCUACAAAUUGGUAUUUUAACAGAGUGAUCACAAUCUAUUGUACAAAAUAUUUUAAACACUAUUUGUACAUUCACAUAUUUGGUAUGUUUAAGUAAAGUGUGCUUGUUCCCACA
rnacentral:lncRNA from 1 species